rnacentral:ncRNA from 1 species
AUUAGUGAAUGCGGGAGCUAAUAUAUCUGCUGAGAGGGGAGUAAAUCCCGACCGCUUGACCUGAUCCGGAUAAUGCCGGCGUAGGAAUUGAAUAUUGAUUAAA